GGUUGAGAAACUUUCUUAUGAGUCAUCUAGCAAAAGAUACAACAGUAUUCCUAACCCUGCUCCAGCCACAUCUACUGAAACACCUAUGGAUUUAGGGGUAUUACGUGGACCCCUAACUCAAGAGGAGAAGAAUAGAAGGAGAUUGAAUCAUCUCUGCAUGUAUUGUGGUUCUAAAGAACAUAUUCUGAGAGACUGCCCUAAUCUUCUAAAACAGAAGUCAGUGGGAUCAAAGACGACUGAAUAUUGAGGCCAUCGUGGAUACUGGGGCAACUGGUUGUUAUAUAGACAUAAGUUUAAUUGAAAAAAAUAAAAUACCACAUAUAGCAAAAGAAAAA